UAACUCGCUACGCUCCUGCGAGGAAAACCCGUGCCAAACAAAACCAUACGAUCGAUCCCUCCUGCCCAUAGCAGCGACCUCGAUCCCAUCCUUCAUUGCCGACUCCUCUCGAUCCCAUCUCUACUCCAAUACGAGCCGCCGCCGAUAUCCGAAACGAUCCGCCGCCGCCGAGGACCGAUUGGAGCCGCCGCGGGCGCUGGCCUCCUGCCCUCGUUCGGCGCCGCCGCCGCUCCAUUCCUGCUGCCUUGCCCCUCUCUUCCCUCCAAGCUUGCCGCCGGCGACGAAGCGUACGGCACCGCUACGGCCGUGCUCGAUCGCCUCCAGGAACCCGGCACGCGUGCCGAGGCGAGGGACUCCUGGGCUCCUUCCAUCGCCGCUUUGCCGAUGACCCCGCCGCCGGGCAGGAGUGCUUCCGCGCCUCCAGGAACCCGCCACGCACAUCAAGGUGAAGAAUCCUUUCCACCUGCAGAGGGUGCCGUGCGGGUUUCGCCGGUCUGUGGUCGGCUGCGAUGAAUUGGGCGUCCUGCUGUCUUUUCUUCUUGUGGGUGCUAUUUGUUCGUGUGGACGGAGGUACCCGUGCUGGGGUUCGUGUGGAUUUAAGAUUAGCCGGCAUGGUUGAUUGGGAUUAAGAUCGGACUAUUCCUAAACAUGCCAAAUGUUGCCUGGAUGAUUGGGAUUAAGAUUGACUAAUCCUAACCAUGCCAAUGUUGUGCUUGCAGUGCUUCUUUGGCACCGGCACAAUUCUGGUCGAGUACCUACUCUUCAGGUAAGAAGUUCAGGAAUCAAGAUGAACUGGCAUUCUACAAGUAAUUAAACUGAUGAUGAAUCAUUGUCUUGUCUUCAUUGUUAAGUACAUUUACAGGUUAGGCCUGCUGUCUUUGGCCGAGUGUUAGUUUUAUUAACAAGGAUAUUACAAACAAAAUUUAGAAGGAUUUGGAAGUUUUACACUACAAAAUAAUGGUAGUAGCAUGUUUGGUGCUGAAAGGGUUCUGCUGCAGUGCAAGUUACUUGAGAGAAGAAAUUGUUCAACUUAAAUAAAAUAUGUUCAUUGAUCCAGUGGUAAGCUAUUCCGAAUUUAUUUCAUGAUGUGGCUGCUCAUGUCUGAUUCUUGCUCAUCUGGUGUUCAUUUACACACUUGGUAAUGAUUCUGCAGUUCUUUUCCACACUUGGCCAUGGUAAUCAGGAUUAUGCCAGGCUUGGUCAAGACUAUGCUACAAAAUGGCCUGAAGUGGUGGCUCACUACUACUGUUAUUUCCAUGUUGUUCUUUUAAACUCCACUUCUCUGUUAUAGGCACCUUUUUGUUAAACAACUCCACUUCUAUGUUGUAGGUACCUUAUAGGCAACGGAUGCAGGGUAAAGAGAGUUGCCAUACGUUUUUACGAGCAGAAUUGUGGCAUGCUUUGUUCAAGAUCUGCUGCAGUCAGUAAAUAUUUGUAUGGUCUGCAAUUCUGCAUACUACUAAAGGAGUUACAACUGAGCACUGUACUCGGAGAAAAUUACCAAGGUUCUACUUCGUCCUGGCGCCACUCCCAUCCUUGUCUGCCUCAUGGUCGCGGUCCUAGCCGUGGAUGAUGCCAUUGUGCCGUACUCCCUACUUACCCCUGCAUGACAACCGCGCUACUAUGCCGCUAUGCAAUCAGAUGCUUGUCUCCGUCCUUGUCAGUCCACAAGCAUUGCUCAUAUUUUUGUCCCUAAAAAAUAUUGGAGAGAUAUGCUAAUUUCCUGAAGUUGAAUGUUCUCUUUGAGCACCUCAGUGAUUAAAGAUUAGAUGGAUUUUCCCCUAGGUACAUUGUCAUGUAAGGAAAUUUCCUCAAAGGUGUUUCAAAUUAGUUUGCCGAAUUGCUGAUUGUACCGCUUGAAUGCAGCUAGGAAUAUAGACCAAGUGAUGAUGGCUACCUUUUGGUUCUUAUAAUUGAGUCACGAGCACUUAUAUUGCAUUGUUUUUAUUAUAGUUCACGAGGUUGACUAAUUUGUGAGGCAGUGGCAGUGCAAACAUCGUCAUCUUUUUUUGGUUGACAGUACGAAAUAGUGGCAUCUUGAUGUUGAAGCAAGAUUGUUUGCAAGACAACAUAUGACACCAUCUUCAUUGCCCUUUUUCGUCUCAGGAAUGAAGGUUUAAUGGCUGGACUAUCAUGCUGUCUACUUGGUUUCAGCUGUACAUAUCUUAAUACUUGACCUUCAGUGAGGACUCGUUUCUUAGGAGAAAUAGUAGGAGAGCAACAAUUGAUUGGUAAGUCUUGCUUGCUAUUAGUUGCAUAAUUAAUAUUGAAAUUCGUUAGUUUGCUUCAAGGUUACAAAGCCAGCAAUGAAUGAGACUAUCAUUAUUAGGAUUGAAGGAUGGUUCAAUGUUGUUGAUAGCAGUAAGAAACACUUGCAAAUGUAUGUCUCGUCUAUUUAAAUGUGUGCUCUAAAAAUAAAUGUACACAACUGUCACAAUAUUGUUUACUACAAUAUUUGAAUUAGAAGUAGUAGUUUUAUGUUUUUGUUUAGUUUUAUAGUAUCUCAGUUAUGAAAUAAAUCCAAGCCUUCCUCCAAAUAGGUUUUUUUGCCUUGAUUUUUAUAAUUCAAAUAAUUUUCGUAUUUUAUAAUAUUCAAACAAAAUGGUUUGUAGAGUCAAUGUUCUCUGACUUAGGUAGCUUUAAUUUAAUGCACUGACGAAGCGUUUUACCUGAGACGAGUGCUGGGAGAGGCUGAUUAGGAUUGCAACGAGGGGGAGACGUCGAUGCUGCCGCUGGCGACCGUUACCGCGACCAUGGCUGUGGGAGUGAGGCGCCGGCGACCAUGACAUCGACCGUGUUGGCCCAUGGUGUUUCUGACUUUCCACGCUCCGUUCCAGGUAGCUGCCAUUCCGAUUGAUCCCCUCCAGGUGAGUGAGCAGCUUACACUCAACCGAUGAAGGCAUCCAAAGGUUCGACUAGGUAGUGAGAAGAUUCAAUAGUUUGAGCCUCCUCCACUUCUUCUGUACAAGAUUGGUCAUUUUCCAAAGGGAUGGAAGUAGCUGUUUAGAGGAUCCACUCACAUGAGGUACACCUCAUAAUUUUAAUGUGAACUUAAAUAUUUUGUAUAGCUAUCCAAAAUUUGUGGAUGAACUGGGUCUUGUGUUGCUUAAAGAGUUUGGAGCUCGGACUAAUGUUAGUAUUCUUUGUCACAUUGAACCCGGUAUAUCAAAUGGUUAUAUGGUAGAUUACAGAACAACAUCAACACAGGCAACAUUGAUUAGGUUGGUGUGCAUAAGAUGGUCCUCAGUGAGGAAGUCCAUGACAGCCUGCUAAUCCUAGGCGUCAAGGCCGAUCGAAUCCGAUCACGACAAUCUCAUUGUGUGUUAGAUAAGGCAAGAGUUCCGCACUUGCUCCACUGCCACCAUUGCCACUAUUUGCCGCCGGCGCUUGAUGCAGCGGAGUGUGUAAAAGGAGAAUGUGAAUAAGGAAGUGUGCACGGGAGUAGUCCGUACCUUUUUAUCACAGCGAGGGAGUUAACCCACACUAGCUCCACGAUCUGCUGACCAGCGGUUGCCUGGUUCGAGCCGAUCAACAAUUUCCAUUGAGAGCGAGGUAGUGCAGGGCACCUCGUGGAUGACCCUGUGUAUGCUUCAUAACCAAAACAUAGUCUUCUUUUGGUUAUCUGAUUUUCUUCCAUAUUUGUCCCAAUAAAAUUUGGUCCCGUGGUAACUCACAGGCACAUACCUCGACUAUAAUUAUUUCAAAAAAAGAGACAAAAUAUCACAUAAUAUAUAAAUCAUUUCAUAUAUCAUGCCAGCAAAACCACAUUGUGGUGGUCGCCCUCAGCUAUGACAGUGUGCAUUUCUUAGAACUGGGAAUCGUCCGAUUCAGUGUGGAGGAGAGGAGGGGCGGACGACGCCAUGCAGGGAAGGAGAGAGAGUAGUGAGAGGAAGUUGCGAUCUGAAUGAUGUGGUGCAAGGGGGGAGGCGGCAGUGAGAUACCGUGGAGGGGAGACAUGACAGCGACGAUGAUGUGGCGAGGAGAGCAUGAUGGGGUAAUGAGGGUAUGAAAGAGAUAAAGAUGUAUUAUGUUGAUGUUCAAAAGGAAUCCAUUCAACAAGAAUGUUGACGCGAUGUUGUUGGAAGGGA